rnacentral:rRNA from 1 species
UAGGGAAUCUUCGGCAAUGGGGGCAACCCUGACCGAGCAACGCCGCGUGAGUGAAGAAGGUUUUCGGAUCGUAAAGCUCUGUUGUAAGAGAAGAACGUGUGUGAGAGUGGUAAGUUCACACAGUGACGGUAACUUACCAGAAAGGGACGGCUAACUACGUGCCAGCAGCCGCGGUAAUACGUAGGUCCCGAGCGUUGUCCGGAUUUAUUGGGCGUAAAGCGAGCGCAGGCGGUUUAAUAAGUCUGAAGUUAAAGGCAGUGGCUUAACCAUUGGUCGCUUUGGAAACUGUUAAACUUGAGUGCAGAAGGGGAGAGUGGAAUUCCAUGUGUAGCGGUGAAAUGCGUAGAUAUAUGGAGGAACACCGGUGGCGAAAGCGGCUCUCUGGUCUGUAACUGACGCUGAGGCUCGAAAGCGUGGGGAGCAAACAGG